rnacentral:rRNA from 1 species
CCCUUAGAUGUUCUGGGCCGCACGCGCGCUACACUGACGAAUGCAACGAGCUUAUAACCUUGGCCGAAAGGUCUGGGUAAUCGCCAAAUUUCGUCGUGAUGGGGAUAGAUUAUUGCAAUUAUUAAUCUUCAACGAGGAAUGCCUAGUAAGCGCAAGUCAUCAGCUUGCGUUGAUUACGUCCCUGCCCUUUGUACACACCGCCCGUCGCUCCUACCGAUUGAAUGGUCCGGUGAAGCGUUCGGACCGUGGCCUUUGGACGGUUCGCCGUCUGUUGGCUGCGGGAAGUUCGUUAAACCUUAUCAUUUAGAGGAAGGAGAAGUCGUAACA